rnacentral:sRNA from 1 species
GAAAUUGGUUUCAAAUCGUUUUCUUUUUCCUCUCUAGUUUUCAUGCUUUGAAAUCUUUGGUGUGCUUUGUUACUUUUUCCGCUUUGUUGAUCUGUAUGAUCACCGUCGUACUAUCUUGUAACAGUUUUAUAUAACUUUAUAAAAAAAA